UCGAGAAUCUUCGGCAAUGGGCGAAAGCCUGACCGAGCGACGCCGCGUGCGGGAUGAAGGCCUUCGGGUUGUAAACCGCUGUCAGAGGGGAUGAAAUCUCUGGGGGCUAUCCCUCAGAGUUGACACAUCCUCAGAGGAAGUCCGGGCUAAGUUCGUGCCAGCAGCCGCGGUAAGACGAACCGGACAAACGUUAUUCGGAAUCACUGGGCUUAAAGGGUACGUAGGCGGCGCGGCAAGUUGGGUGUGAAAUCCCUCGGCUCAACCGAGGAAUGGCGCCCAAAACUGCCGUGCUAGAGGGAGACAGAGGUGAGUGGAACUUAGGGUGGAGCGGUGAAAUGCGUUGAUAUCCUAAGGAACACCAGUGGCGAAAGCGACUCACUGGGUCUCUUCUGACGCUGAGGUACGAAAGCUAGGGGAGCGAACGGGAUUAGAUACCCCCGUAGUCC
rnacentral:rRNA from 1 species